UUGUGAAGGGAAAUGAGAUUUUCUUAAUAUUCCGUCCAAUCAUCAGCAAUGUGGUGACAUGGAUGUCGCCAAAAGCCCGCAAUGAGCCUGGAUGGCGAAUCGCGGGCGGUUGCGUCCGGCUAACACAACUAUGCCGGAAUAUUUAGAAAAUCCAUUUUCCGAAGCUG
rfam:Lachnospiraceae bacterium 28-4 genomic scaffold acPFn-supercont1.1, whole genome shotgun sequence.